GGGCCUCCCUUCCGUUUCCGGGAAUAUGGAGGCCGUGCCGUCAUUACCGAGCGCCGAGGCCACUGGCCGCGCUGAGAGCGGCGGGUGCGAGGAAGCGUGAUGCUGAGCCGGCUUCAGGAGCUGCGCAAGGAGGAGGAGACGCUGCUCCGGUUGAAGGCCGCACUACAUGACCAGCUGAACAGGCUCAAGGUUGAAGAAUUGGCCCUCCAAUCAAUGAUUAGUUCUAGAAGAGGAGAUGAGAUGCAAUCUUCUCAGCCGCUCCCUGAACAGUCACAUGAUAUGUUGGUGCAUGUAGACAAUGAAGCAUCCAUCAACCAAACUGCACUGGAGUUGACCACAAGAAGCUGUGUGUCAGAGGAGGAGGAGGAGGAGGAGGAGGAAGAAUCAGAUUCCUGAAGAAGGAAGAGAGCCAGGAAAACCAAGGAAAGGCUGUUGGCAAGCCAUUGAACCCUUCCGAGUAAAGCAAGGCCACCGUCAAAGAUGUUAAGGAAGUGUGCACAGAGGGUCGAGAACUUCAAGAAAAUGAGCUGUUGCCACUUCUCGGUGACAUCACAGCACACUGCCUACUAUAUAAACUGCUUUGUGUGGCUGUCAUCACAUCUAGCUUGAGACAUCACUAUGGUGAAAUACACGUCUGAGCAGAGGCAGGCAUGGGAAAGAGGCCUGAAGGCUACAUGGCACACCACUGGGCAGGGGACUUGCUGUUUACUGCCUCCCAGGUGCUUAGAUGCCAGCUGCGUGGGUUGGUGUGCUGGGCUGGUUAAGGCCAAUGGUGGAGCAGAGCCAGCCUGCAAAAUCCACUUCCUCAGCAUCAGAUCUCUUGAUAAAAGCAUGAACCUGCAUGGGAAGAAACAGAGGAAGUGUUUAAAAACCACCAAGAAGGAAGAUUCAAGAGCCCUGCAUCUGGAGCUUGUGCCACAGCGGGGCCCAGGGAAGCAGGGCCAGCUGCAGGCCGAGAGCCCCACUCUGCUGGCUUCACCUGCAGUGAGGCCUUGGGCAUCCGCUCACCUCCCUGAGCCCUCGCACCACAAACCGGGAGAGCAGCCUGCCUUGGGUGCCUCGCGGGUGUCGGAACAAAGGAACUGAUGGGCUUGAAGGUGUGCGUUGCUCUGUACAGGCUCCACGAGGCGUGUAAGUUCAGUUAUUUACAGCAUUACUUCCUUGCUCCUCCCCUAGCACUGCCACCAAACAAGAGGCGGCAGGUGGUGAGCAGCUUGGUGAGUGGAAGGUGAGUCUCCUAUACUAGAAAGGCCCUGCCUCCACAAAGGGGUAGGCUCGCCCAUUCUUUCCCUGGACACCCUCAGGCUGCAGGGUCAGGGUCACCCCAGCUUUUCCUCUAAACGGAUGGGAGGAGAGAAGAGACUUAUAUUUUGUAUCCUGCAGUCCCAGGGUCAGCUGCACUGCAGUGGUCAAGGCCGAGCGGGGAAUGGACUCAGGAAGUCCUAGAUGGAUCAACUGACAGAGGAGAGAUGAACAGACGGGUAGUGUAGGAAUUGCAAAUAAAUGGACUUACCAUGAGCUGCUUUAGAUCUGCUCUCUCUGCAGGGUUUUUUAUUAAGCUUAAAGGAAUAAAGAUAAUGUGAGAACUA